rnacentral:rRNA from 1 species
UGAGCUUGAUCCUGGCUCAGGAUGAACGCUAGCGGCAGGCUUAACACAUGCAAGUCGAGGGGUAGAAGUCUUCGGACUUUGAGACCGGCGCACGGGUGCGUAACGCGUAUGCAAUCUACCUUUUACAGAGGGAUAGCCCAGAGAAAUUUGGAUUAAUACCUCAUAGUAUAAUGACUCGGCAUCGAGAUAUUAUUAAAGUCACAACGGUAAAAGAUGAGCAUGCGUCCCAUUAGCUAGUUGGUAAGGUAACGGCUUACCAAGGCUACGAUGGGUAGGGGUCCUGAGAGGGAGAUCCCCCACACUGGUACUGAGACACGGACCAGACUCCUACGGGAGGCAGCAGUGAGGAAUAUUGGACAAUGGGCGCAAGCCUGAUCCAGCCAUGCCGCGUGCAGGAUGACGGUCCUAGUGGAUUGUAAACUGCUUUUAUACGAGAAGAAACA